rnacentral:precursor_RNA from 15 species
UGACGCAACUUCAACCAACUUUCCUUGAAAAUAAAGCGCAUUUGUCGUUGCAUCCUUAACAUAAAGGCAACGAUUCAGGUGCUUUUCUUUCAAUCAAAGUUAAUACUUCCAGAUUUUGA